GAUGAACGCUAGCUACAGGCUUAACACAUGCAAGUCGAGGGGAAACGAUAUUGGAAGCUUGCUUCCGAUAGGCGUCGACCGGCGCACGGGUGAGUAACGCGUAUCCAACCUGCCCACCACUUGGGGAUAACCUUGCGAAAGUAAGACUAAUACCCAAUGAUAUCUCUAGAAGACAUCUGAAGGAGAUUAAAGAUUUAUCGGUGAUGGAUGGGGAUGCGUCUGAUUAGCUUGUUGGCGGGGUAACGGCCCACCAAGGCGACGAUCAGUAGGGGUUCGGAGAGGAAGGUCCCCCACAUUGGAACUGAGACACGGGCCAAACUCCUACAGGAGGCAGCAGUGUGGAAUAUUGGUCAAUGGGCGAGAGCCUGAACCAGCCAAGUAGCGUGCAGGAUGGCGGCCCUAUGGGUUGUAAACUGCUUUUAUAAGGGAAUAAAGUGAGCCUCGUGAGGCUUUUUGCAUGUACCUUAUGAAUAAGGACCGGCUAAUUCCGUGCCAGCCGCCGCGGUAA
rnacentral:rRNA from 1 species